rnacentral:rRNA from 1 species
GGUGUGUCAAGCAGGGCAGAUUCAUUUUCUGCCACCGAAUACAUUAGCAUGGGAUAAUGGAAUAGGACCCUGCUCCUCCUUUUUUCAGUUGGUUAAUUCAUGAGAGAGGAACAGGGUAAUGAUUAAUAGGGAUAGUUGGGGGCAUUAAUAUUUAAUUGUCAGAGGUGAAAUUCUUGGAUUUAUGAAAGAUUAACUUCUGCGAAAGCAUCUGCCAAGGAUGUUUUCAUUAAUCAAGAACGAAAGUUAGGGGAUCGAAGACGAUCAGAUACCGUCGUAGUCUUAACCAUAAACGAUGCCGACCAGCGAUUAGGAGACGUUGAAUACAAAACACCUCUAUAUACAAUUCAGUAUAUGGCUACCCGGGGGUGUAUAGUGUGUGUAUAUAUACACGGAGAGACACCCCCCUCACCGCUUGAGAAAAA